rnacentral:tRNA from 1 species
CCGUCGAUAGCUCAGUUGGUAGAGCGGUGGACGGUAGAUCCAUAGGUCGCUGGUUCGAAUCCGGCUCGACGGA